rnacentral:rRNA from 1 species
UACGUAGGGAGCAAGCGUUGUCCGGAAUCAUUGGGCGUAAAGAGCGCGCAGGCGGCUUGGUAAGUCGGAUGUGAAAUCCCGAGGCUCAACCUCGGGUCUGCAUCCGAUACUGCCCGGCUAGAGGUAGGUAGGGGAGAUCGGAAUUCCUGGUGUAGCGGUGAAAUGCGCAGAUAUCAGGAGGAACACCGGUGGCGAAGGCGGAUCUCUGGGCCUUACCUGACGCUCAGGCGCGAAAGCUAGGGGAGCGAACUGG